rnacentral:misc_RNA from 1 species
GAAAUGCGAUACGCAAUGCGAAUUGCAGAAUUCCGCGAGUCAUCAGAUCUUUGAACGCAACUGGCGCUGGAGAGAUAUCUUUCCAGCAUGCUUGUUUCAGUGUCUAGAAACAUCAUAAAAUAUCUUAAUGUGAUUGAAAUAUCUAUUAUAGAUUUUUCUCUCAUUAAAUAUGAAGAUGUAGAUCAAUUUGAUCCAACGAAGUGGUCACAUUUUAUAUGUGAUUUCGUUGUUAAUCUAAAUUAUCUAUAAACAUCUUUAUAUAAUUAAAUCUUCAAUAUGCAUCUGAAAUCAAGCAAGGCUACCCGCUGAACUUAA